rnacentral:rRNA from 1 species
GACGAACGCUGGCGGCGUGCUUAACACAUGCAAGUCGAACGGAAAGGCCCUGCUUUUGUGGGGUGCUCGAGUGGCGAACGGGUGAGUAACACGUGAGUAACCUGCCCUUGACUUUGGGAUAACUUCAGGAAACUGGGGCUAAUACCGGAUAGGAGCUCCUGCUGCAUGGUGGGGGUUGGAAAGUUUCGGCGGUUGGGGAUGGACCCGCGGCUUAUCAGCUUGUUGGUGGGGUAGUGGCUUACCAAGGCUUUGACGGGUGGCCGGCCUGAGAGGGUGACCGGCCACAUUGGGACUGAGAUACGGCCCAGACUCCUACGGGAGGCAGCAGUGGGGAAUAUUGCACAAUGGGCGGAAGCCUGAUGCAGCAACGCCGCGUGCGGGAUGACGGCCUUCGGGUUGUAAACCGCUUUCGCCUGUGACGAAGCGUGAGUGACGGUAAUGGGUAAAGAAGCACCGGCUAACUACGU